rnacentral:rRNA from 1 species
CCUACGGGAGGCUGCAGUGGGGAAUAUUGCACAAUGGGCGCAAGCCUGAUGCAGCCAUGCCGCGUGUGUGAAGAAGGCCUUCGGGUUGUAAAGCACUUUCAGCGGGGAGGAAGGCGUUAAGGUUAAUAACCUUGGCGAUUGACGUUACCCGCAGAAGAAGCACCGGCUAACUCCGUGCCAGCAGCCGCCGUAAUACGGAGGGUGCAAGCGUUAAUCGGAAUUACUGGGCGUAAAGCGCACGCAGGCGGUCUGUCAAGUCGGAUGUGAAAUCCCCGGGCUCAACCUGGGAACUGCAUUCGAAACUGGCAGGCUAGAGUCUUGUAGAGGGGGGUAGAAUUCCAGGUGUAGCGGUGAAAUGCGUAGAGAUCUGGAGGAAUACCGGUGGCGAAGGCGGCCCCCUGGACAAAGACUGACGCUCAGGUGCGAAAGCGUGGGGAGCAAACAGGAUUAGAUACCCUGGUAGUC